UACAGUGGGUGCAAACGUUGCUCGGAAUUAUUGGGCGUAAAGCGCGCGUAGGCGGCUACCUAAGUCGGAUGUGAAAGCCCCUGGCUUAACUGGGGAAGUGCACCCGAAACUGAGUAGCUAGAGUGCGAAAGAGGGUCGCGGAAUUCCCGGUGUAGAGGUGAAAUUCGUAGAUAUCAGGAAGAACACCGAUGGCGAAGGCAGCUCUCUGGGACGGUACUGACGCUGAGACGCGAAAGCGUGGGGAGCGAACAGG
rnacentral:rRNA from 1 species